rnacentral:rRNA from 1 species
UACGUAGGGUGCAAGCGUUGUUCGGAUUUACUGGGCGUACAGGGAGCGUAGGCGGUUGGGUAAGCCCUUCGUGAAAUCUCCGGGCCUAACCCGGAAAGUGCGGAGGGGACUGCUCGGCUAGAGGAUGGGAGAGGAGCGCGGAAUUCCCGGUGUAGCGGUGAAAUGCGUAGAGAUCGGGAGGAAGGCCGGUGGCGAAGGCGGCGCUCUGGAACAUUUCUGACGCUGAGGCUCGAAAGCGUGGGGAGCAAACAGG